CCAUUAGAGCGGCCCGCGUCUGAUUAGCUAGUUGGUGAGGUAAAGGCUCACCAAGGCGACGAUCAGUAGCUGGUCUGAGAGGAUGAUCAGCCACAUUGGGACUGAGACACGGCCCAAACUCCUACGGGAGGCAGCAGUGGGGAAUCUUGCGCAAUGGGCGAAAGCCUGACGCAGCCAUGCCGCGUGAAUGAUGAAGGUCUUAGGAUUGUAAAAUUCUUUCACCGGGGACGAUAAUGACGGUACCCGGAGAAGAAGCCCCGGCUAACUUCGUGCCAGCAGCCGCGGUAAUACGAAGGGGGCUAGCGUUGCUCGGAAUUACUGGGCGUAAAGGGAGCGUAGGCGGACAUUUAAGUCAGGGGUGAAAUCCCGGGGCUCAACCUCGGAAUUGCCUUUGAUACUGGGUGUCUUGAGUAUGAGAGAGGUGUGUGGAACUCCGAGUGUAGAGGUGAAAUUCGUAGAUAUUCGGAAGAACACCAGUGGCGAAGGCGACACACUGGCUCAUUACUGACGCUGAGGCUCGAAAGCGUGGGGAGCAAACAGGAUUAGAUACCCUGGUAGUCCACGCCGUAAACGAUGAUUGCUAGUUGUCGGGAUGCAUGCAUUUCGGUGACGCAGC
rnacentral:rRNA from 1 species